CGGGGUGGCUCAGCGGCGCGGCAGCAAAUCCCAGGGGAGGGGGCGGGGUCUGUGGGGCAGACCCUCCCCGCCCCCCCUCUUAGCUGCCUCAGGGCCUGGGUGGAGGCCGUGGGGAAGCUACAGGCAGGGGCGUGAAAGCAAGAAGUGGAGGACAGGGAUAGGCUCGAAGCAGGAGAGUUGCACGCAAGAGCUGAAGAACAGGAGUGGGCUACAAGCAGAAGACCUGCGUGUUAGGAGUUUCCAGUCCACCUCUGUACUUUAUCACACUGAAAUCUACAGCAUCUCUAGCAUGGAAUUGUAUAUUGAGCGUGGAAUGAGUGCAAAUGGCCAAUGAAUGGGGCAGACUCUGUAAUUCAAGAAUGGAAGCUGAGUUACAAUGGUGCAAAACUGGGUGCACGCAUCUUACAUGUAACAUCCUAAGACGGUCAUCUACUGUCUUUGGCAAAGCAAGAAACCAGGAGGUUCGACAUGAGAUUAUCUACAAGGUGCUUGCUGUUUACAUCAGACCGAGCCCAUUGCAUUCACCAGGUGUCUUCUGGAUUGAAGCUGGAUGAAAAAAAGAGCUUCUCUGGCUACUCAGAAUCGUCAGUGGGGUUUAAGAUGAGCACAAGGCAGGGCUUUGGAUCCAGCCCAGCUGGAAGGCCUGAGGUGCACCAGAAGAGACAGUAUGGGGUGGAGGAAAGUUGGUACUGACACUGCCUGUGCUGCACCCAUGCUGGGCAGAAACAGAAGACAUCAGGAUACCCAGUGGUCAUUGCAGCACCUUUCAUCAGCUCUAAACCAAAAGAGUCUGCAGUCUGGUUUUCCAUGGGCAGUAAUUCUUUCUGUCCUAGAAAUCCCCAUAGCUGUGGGUUAAUUGCAGCCUGAGAUGUUGCAAUUCCAUGCAAAGGUCCAAUAGCUUUAGGAGAAAAUGGCUUCCACUGAAAAAGAAACUUCCAUAAACCCCUCAAUGCCACCUAGCCGGGGGUUACAAGAAUAUCCUGAUCCUGGUAUGUCCAGUCUGGUUCACCAAAGAAUAUCAUGUGCAGUCUUAAAUGAAAACGAGGGCCACGCUUAUAUCAUGGUGCAAUGCAUGUACAGAUACUCGUGA